UACGUAGGGUGCGAGCGUUGUCCGGAAUUAUUGGGCGUAAAGAGCUCGUAGGCGGCCUGUCGCGUCGGAUGUGAAAGCCCGGGGCUUAACCCCGGGUCUGCAUUCGAUACGGGCAGGCUAGAGUGUGGUAGGGGAGAUCGGAAUUCCUGGUGUAGCGGUGAAAUGCGCAGAUAUCAGGAGGAACACCGAUGGCGAAGGCAGGUCUCUGGGCAUUAACUGACGCUGAGGAGCGAAAGCAUGGGGAGCGAACAGG
rnacentral:rRNA from 1 species